rnacentral:rRNA from 1 species
UACGGAGGGUGCGAGCGUUGUCCGGAAUCAUUGGGCGUAAAGGGCGCGUAGGUGGCCCGGUCAGUUCGUGGUGAAAGCGGGGGCUCAACCCUGCGUCGGCCAUGAAUACUGCCGCGGCUGGAGCACUGUAGAGGCAGGCGGAAUUCCGGGUGUAGCGGUGGAAUGCGUAGAGAUCCGGAAGAACACCGGUGGCGAAGGCGGCCUGCUGGGCAGUUGCUGACACUGAGGCGCGACAGCGUGGGGAGCAAACAGG